UACGUAGGGUGCGAGCGUUAAUCGGAAUUACUGGGCGUAAAGAGUGCGUAGGCGGUUCUUUGUGUCCGCUGUGAAAGCCCCGGGCUUAACCUGGGAAUGGCAGUGGAAACUAGAGAACUUGAAUCUGGCAGAGGGGGGUGGAAUGGCCACGUGUAGCAGUGAAAUGCGUAGAUAUGUGGCGGAACACCGAUGGCGAAGGCAGCCCCCUGGGCUGAGAUUGACGCUCAGGCACGAAAGCGUGGGGAGCAAACAGG
rnacentral:rRNA from 1 species